rnacentral:lncRNA from 1 species
UGGCACGGAUAGUUCGAAUUCCAGAUAGUUCUUGCCUUUUGGUCAAAGAAUAAUGUCGAUGAGGGCAUGUAGGUGCAAAUAUUUUGUGGUGGGAUUGUAAUCUUUUGAUAAAAAGUUUAUUUGUCACUGAACGAUGAAAUCUUGCUUUUUUUAUUUGUUUGGAUAGAGGGUUGACAAAUCGAAUGAUAUUUACUUACCUCAAUUUUUUUUGACAAUCUUGUAAAGAUUGCUGAAGGUC